rnacentral:rRNA from 1 species
ACAUGCAAGUAGAACGCUGAAGGAGGAGCUUGCUUCUCUGGAUGAGUUGCGAACGGGUGAGUAACGCGUAGGUAACCUGCCUGGUAGCGGGGGAUAACUAUUGGAAACGAUAGCUAAUACCGCAUAAUAGUAGAUGUUGCAUGACAUUUGCUUAAAAGGUGCAAUUGCAUCACUACCAGAUGGACCUGCGUUGUAUUAGCUAGUUGGUGGGGUAACGGCUCACCAAGGCGACGAUACAUAGCCGACCUGAGAGGGUGAUCGGCCACACUGGGACUGAGACACGGCCCAGACUCCGACGGGAGGCAGCAGUAGGGAAUCUUCGGCAAUGGACGGAAGUCUGACCGAGCAACGCCGCGUGAGUGAAGAAGGUUUUCGGAUCGUAAAGCUCUGUUGUAAGAGAAGAACGAGUGUGAGAGUGGAGUUCACACUGUGACGGUAUCUUACCAGAAAGGGACGGCUAACUACGUGCCAGCAGCCGCGGUAAUACGUAGGUCCCGAGCGUUGUCCGGAUUUAUUGGGCGUAAAGCGAGCGCAGGCGGUUAGAUAAGUCUGAAGUUAAAGGCUGUGGCUUAACCAUAGUACGCUUUGGAAACUGUUUAACUUGAGUGCAAGAGGGGAGAGUGGAAUUCCAUGUGUAGCGGUGAAAUGCGUAGAUAUAUGGAGGAACACCGGUGGCGAAAGCGGCUCUCUGGCUUGUAACUGACGCUGAGGCUCGAAAGCGUGGGGAGCAAACAGGAUUAGAUACCCUGGUAGUCCACGCCGUAAACGAUGAGUGCUAGGUGUUAGACCCUUUCCGGGGUUUAGUGCCGCAGCUAACGCAUUAAGCACUCCGCCUGGGGAGUACGACCGCAAGGUUGAAACUCAAAGGAAUUGACGGGGGCCCGCACAAG